GAGAGAAGAGAGAGAGAGAGAGAGGGUGGCUCUGUGUGUGUGUGUAUCAGAACUACAGAAGUCUCAGUGCUUCACUGCUGCUCAGAUUUUUAUGCUAGAGAAGUGAUAAAAAUAAAUAAAAUUGAAAUAAAAAAUAAAGCUAAAAUGAGAAGUAUAUAGGGGGAGUUGUGCUUGUGCUUUGUCCACUUCAGUACAUGUCUCUACUUGCAUUUGCGUUUCUGUCCGGCCCUUCUAUGUAGUUUUAAGAAGGGGAAACCCAGGUGGUUUUUUCAUGUUUCUCCUAUUUUGCUUGAUUUUAUAGCUUAUAUCGAUGAUCCAUUUGAUGCAUUAGUUCUUGGGUAUUUUUGAAGUUUCUAUCCUUGGCCUCUAUUUGAUGCCACAGUUCUUCUGCUUCUUUUUUUUUUUUGUCAGAUUAUUUUACUUGGUUUUUGGUGUUUUUGAGGUUCUUUUUGAUGCAAGCUGUGGAUCUCUGUGUAACAUUGAUCUGAUGUUAAUUUUAAGCACCCUCUGAGGAAUUUGAGGAGUAAAGUAAUUAAUUUUCCUUUUUUGGUAUUUUUAUCUUUUCCAUCCUUUCACUUUUUGUGCAUGCUUGGUUUUGAUUUAUUUCAUGUGAAAAUCUAAAUCUUUGUGUUUUAUAGCACUGGUGAUGCAUAUGAUCAGGGUAGUCAUUCAGUGAUACAUUUUAUAGAAAAGUUAUCUGAUAUAGGUUCUUUCAGUAAGAAUGUAAUGCAUUUCUUCUGUUGUUUCUAUGCCUCUCUCUCUCUCUCUCUGGGGAAAAGGGAGUGAGAGUUGGGGACUUGGGGGAUUCUUGAUCUACUGUUUUCUGGACCAUUCCCCGUCUUGAUGACUUAUAGGCCUAGAUUUAUUUAUUUCCAUAUAUAUGCUUGCAUUAGUUCUUCUUUGUGUAUGAAAAUAUUAUAAACUAAUGUUUCUCAAGCCUUUGCCUUACAUGUUGAAUUGUUGCAUGCUCGUGACUUACAAGUUUGCUGAUUGCUAUUACUUGUUUUAAUAGUUUUAUUGUUGAUUUGUGUUUAAGAGAUCUUUAUGCCUCUUUUAUGUCUCUCUUUAAUGGUCUGCAGUCAUAGGAUUCCUAGUCCUGAAUUUAUUCACUGGUUUCUGGGUUUUUAAGAUCUUUUGCUUUUAUUGAUUAUAGAUUAUAUCGUGACGUUUAUGGGUCUAUAAGCGAAGUUCUAUUGUUAGUGACUUGUUUUGAAUGUGGUUCUCAGAUUUCAUUUAAAGCUCAUAAAUGUUUCAAAAUCUUUUUGGAGCUUUAAUGUAACCAAAGAUUUGCCAUCAUGGGCAACAAUUAUGUGAUAUGUUGUUCAUUGUUACACAUCUCUUUUAAAUGCUUCAUUUCUCAGGCUAAUUCUUGACAGUUUUGUCACAAUUUCUAUUGAUUUUGAUGCUCUCUGCUUUUCUUUGAUCUAUUAACUUCGACUAUUACAGCAGGAAAUUGCCAGUAUUUUGCUUCAAGCAUUGAGAGGCUCUUAAUUAUGCUUAGAAGGAGAAGCAGAUCAUGUUAGGAACUAGGAACUAGGAAGGAGCAUGCAUGUUCAAACUAAUGGCUGAUUCUGCUUCAGAAUCCCAUUGCCAAUUUGAUGCUUCUAGCCUGAGACACAUAAGCAGCUCAUUUUUCAAUUUUCCUGGUUUCUUUGUGGGGUUUGGUUCAAGAGGUUCAUCAGAUUCUGACUCAAUUAGGAGCCCUACAUCUCUUGAUUUCAAUUUUUUCUCCAAUCUUAGUAACCCGUUUAGCCAAAAGUCCCCACGAUCACCAACCCAAAAUGGCCAUCAGAAGAAAUGGGAUUGCAGUAAAGUAGGUCUCAGCAUCAUAAAUUUACUAGUUGAUGAAACCAAACCAGCUGGUGAAGUUCUUAAUUCACCAAAGAGGAAGAAUAUAAUAUUUGGAUCACAGAUGAAGACUGGUUAUUCUGUGAGAUCCAAAUCUUUGCCAAGAGACUACAUGCUUUUGCUACAAUCACAAACCAAAACUCCUAACCCCAAAUUAGGUAAAUCAGACUCUGAUGCUGUCUUUGGGAAUGAUGGAGUCCGGUUGGAACCUAAACCCUUUGAAAUCUCUUCUCCAAUUAGCUUAUCCCCCACAUCCCCUUUGAGUUCUAAAAAGUUUUGUUCCGAGAAUAGAACCACUACUAUAACAAGUUUACCACAGUUUAGUGGUGGAUGUACACAAACAGAUAAUUCUUCGGAAAUAAAAUCAAGUUCACUUCCUGUACCCAUUGGCUCUAGCCAUGGGUGUGUAGGUUCUCUCUCUGCACGUGAGAUUGAGCUUUCUGAGGAUUAUACCUGUAUAAUUUCUUAUGGUCCAAACCCUAAAACAACUCAUAUUUUUGGUGACUGUAUUUUGGAAUGUCACACAAAUGAGAUGUCCAAUUUUGACAAAACACAAAAUCUGGGCUUUGAAUUGCCUCAAGAGGCUAACUGCCUGGAAGUGGAGGGUCCAACUUCUCACCCAUCUGAUGAGUUCUUGAGCUUCUGUUACUCCUGCAAAAAAAAGUUGGAGAAGGAAGAUGACAUUUAUAUCUACAGAGGUGAGAAAGCGUUUUGCAGUUUUGAUUGCCACUCUGAAGAAAUUUUUGCUGAGGAUGAAACAGAGAAAACUUGUGAUGAUUCCCCCAAAAGCUCUCCUGCAUCCAGCUACCAUGAAGAUAUUUUCCUAACAAGUAUGCCCAGUGCUAUGUAAUGGGCUGAUGUUACUCUCCCUUCAUGCUUUCAUGUCUUGGUGAUAAACAAUCGGAUCAUCUGUUUUGAAAGAGCUGUUUAUGUGUAUCUGUUGCAGCCUUGGAUGAUUUCUAUGGUGAAUCUUGCUGUUUUCUGAUUGUGUUUCAGCUUUCAUGGUAUUGGUGAUUCCUAGGUAGCAAAAAGCAUAGAGUUUUUAUUUUGUAGUCGAGGCAUAAACAUUGUCGUAGAUUUUUGUUGUUCUAUGUUUUCAAGUAGAUGGGUUAGAAGUGGCCAGGAGCCCUCACUCAUCAGUUCUCUUUCCAUUUUCUUUGUAUUGCAUUUAUCAAGAGUUGAUGUAGUCGCCUUCUGUUCCUGUUGAACUCAUUAUUAAAGCUUUCAGCAUUAUCCACCAAAUGACUUUCUCUAAAAUAUUCAGUUGGUGAAAUUUUGAUCGAUCAAAUUUCUCUUUAGCAGUUCCCAUUUUCUGACAAAUAGCAUCUUCAGUAGCCAGCUUCUUGCUAUGUUGCAAUUUGAGUGAACUCCUCUGUUCUCUCUAUUCAUGUCAAGUAUCAUAUCAAAGAAAACAUGUGGCUUUCUAUUUGUUCAUGUAUAGCCUUUUCGGCUAAAUCUUAACACAAAUUUGUGUCAUCUGAUGGGCAGAGUUGGAGAUGUGCUAAAACCGGGUCGCCUUCUGAGUGCUAGUUUGGCAUUGUCGGCUGAGGCUUUGCACAAAAGCUGAGAACACAAAACAGAUAAGGCUUUGUUUGUGAUGCUUUUUUUGUGAAGCUGCUUUCUUUUUGUGAAACUAUCGUUGCAAAAGCAGCUCCCCUCACUGUCAAUAUCUCCCUAAGCAUGAGAAAGGAUCCUUUUUGUUAGUGAUUUUUGCAAAUUUGGAACAACCAAAUCUUCAUUCUUUUAAGAAAUACCAAAUUGGUGGGCAGCCACUUUAUUGAAAAGGGCAGCAUUAGUGGUCCAGUGGAAUUGUCCGAUAUUGGGGAGCCUUGAGUCACACACGCACAAACACUUGCUAGUCAAUGGCUAGGAAAACCAACCAUUUAAACUUCGAAGUGGUAAUGGUACAGGUAGUGGGCGGCUCAUUUACAUAAAUUUUAGAUAUUAACAACAGUAGACCACACUGCUAAUGGAAUAAUAAAAAUUUAUCUUAAAAUACUUUUCUUAGUAUAACUUAUAUAGUAAUAAUCCCGAGAGAAAAUAUAUGCAUAUAAUGAUGUAUAUCAUGAUUAAUGAA
rnacentral:misc_RNA from 1 species